rnacentral:lncRNA from 1 species
GAACUUGCCAUGUUGGUCCUGCUAGGAUAAUCUAGGCUAGAAGUUGGGAAGUGAUCAUAGGCCAUUGUACAAAUUAGUCCACUUAAGCCUAAAAUGAUCCAACCAAAUGGUAGCAUUAUUCCCUUUGGAUCCAAAUAUUUGAGCCUAAAAUUGACCAUUUCGUUUGAUUCACCUAACUCACCUUCCUUUAAAAUAUUGUCUUAGCCCUGGUCCCUCCUUGGACAUGUGCACC